UACAGAGGGUGCAAGCGUUAAUCGGAGUUACUGGGCGUAAAGGGCGCGUAGGCGGUCAUACAAGUGAGAUGUGAAAUCCCCGGGCUUAACCUGGGAACUGCAUUUUAGACUGUAUGACUGGAGUACUGUAGAGGAUAGUGGAAUUUCCGGUGUAGCGGUGAAAUGCGUAGAGAUCGGAAGGAACACCGGUGGCGAAGGCGGGUCUCUGGGCCGAUACUGACGCUGAGGAGCGAAAGCGUGGGGAGCGAACAGG
rnacentral:rRNA from 1 species